CCAGCCACGGACAAGAUGUCGUCCUGUUGGAGGCUAGGCUUAGUCUAUUUCUGAGCGGCGCCUGUGAGGUAUCAAAGAAGUUCCCACUCCAAACAUCCCACCAGGUGUGAUAUUAUUUGGGUCUAAGUGACAACAAUCUACCCAAAGAAACCCCAAAGCCCAAGAAGAGGAGACCAAGUUUGCGCGAGGGAGACGGAUAAACGACCCGCAAUGCCUUGUGGGAAGUGUAGUCCGAGGCCGGAAAAGCGGGGUUGCAGAUAAUAGACAACAGCUUGUCCGGGCUUUGGCGAACAAACCCCGGAGCGUCGCGGAGAUUUCUGGGAGUGCUCGCUCGUUCUCGGAGUGCGCAGACGCAGGGCUGCGAGUGGACAUUUUGGUCUUUGUCCGCGGGUCAGCACGGCCUCUGGGUCCACGUGGCGCCAAAGUAGGAGAAGCAUCUGGGAAAUGACAAGUACAUAGAACGACAUCUAGAUCUGGGAGAACAGACUUCGCUUUUUAAAAGGCAAAA